rnacentral:misc_RNA from 1 species
UUGAUACGGACCUUUAUAUAUGUAUGUGGAACGCGCCGCUGUGCACGCCGUUUCGAUGGAAUGCAAUAUUAAUAGGACGCCUGAACAAUAUAUUCCUGGCUACCUGUGUGCACUCGCGUAUACCAACGCGGCGAUAUUUGCUUAGGCGCGUCCUGGUUCGGCCUGUCAUCGUCGUCUGGAUAACGAGGUGUCGCCAGUUAGACAGGCGUCGUUUCCUACCGUCUCUGUGGCGUACAUCGCCGCGCAAAUUAACCUUUUUAACGAUACCGACAAUGGAAAAUCGGUUGAUCGGUAGAUGGAGCAGAGAGUAAGGCAAACAAGAAUCGAACCGCUGGUGUUCCCGUAUUUGUUCCAGUGAUGGAUGUCUUGUUUGGUGUUUGACGCGAUGUAUCACGUCGUGCAACUGACUAAAUCCCAAUAGUUGCGCCGAGCAAGAUUAAUUGAAUCGAUAGGAACAACCGGUCUGAAUUAUUAGCUCGAGGGAGCAUUUCUACGGAGCAUGUACACGGACGUGACACAGUUCCGAAACUCGGAUGUUAGGCGUGUUAUUCGUGAAUCCGCAACUGACACCGUACAGUUUCACAGUACAUAAUCGCGGAAAUGGGAACGCCUCUCGUGGAAACAAAGAUGACAAAACGGAGAGACGAUGCCGCGAUGUGGCACGAGACAAUAAUAAGAAGUACGGGCAAAGAUAGACAAAGGAGAUCCAGGGCAAAAUCUCCCGGGAAAGAAAUAUACCAGUUGGGUAAAUAGCGGACCUCCUUUCGAAGGAUCGCGAGCGUAAGACGAAAUAUCGCGUAAUGACGGGCGGUGUAUAAAUUAGAAAUUCUAACGAAGACUGAGAGAAGGUUCGUUCGAGCUCUCGGUGAAACUGAGACUCGGCCUGAAUCUCUGUAGAGCGACGCUUUUAAAGAAGCGCGAGAGAUACGCGCUCACAAGGGAAGAAAUAGCCAUCGCGUGGUACUUCACCUGGAAACGUUCGUCCGAAGAUUAUAUCAGCUUCAUCGUGCGAUUCAACGGCGCCGUAUUUUCCACGUAGCAUAAUGCUCCACGGCUUUAAUAUUUCGCAGACAACUACCAACCAUUUCGGACUCACGGCUAGAGUCACAGCGUAUCCGCCUCUGGGAAGAUUGUCUCUGUAAUUUAUUCAUCAAAAGUAAUAAACCUUAUACCGCGACCUUU